GACGAACCGAGCGAACGUUGUUCGGAAUCACUGGGCUUAAAGGGCGCGUAGGCGGGUGCUCAAGUCCGGGGUGAAAUCCUCCGGCUCAACUGGAGAACUGCCUCGGAUACUGGGUGCCUCGAGGGUGGUAGGGGGUAUGCGGAACUAUCGGUGGAGCGGUGAAAUGCGUUGAUAUCGAUAGGAACUCCGGUGGCGAAGGCGGCAUACUGGACCACAUCUGACGCUGAGGCGCGAAAGCCAGGGGAGCAAACGGG
rnacentral:rRNA from 1 species